rnacentral:rRNA from 1 species
AUGGCUGCGGCGGACGCCCCCUACAUCGACCAUCAGCGCCGGCCGCGCAACAGCCACAAGGUCAUCGCUUCCUCGCCGGACAUGGAGCAGCAGCUCUUCCUGCUCCAGCAACAUGCCGCCGUGGUCACCGCGGUGAGCAAGAUCCACGCGGUCAGCCCCUACUCCAUCGGCAAGACCAUUGAGAAGGAGUUCCAGAUCCCUGCGCACCACCUCCGCAUCACCAACCACAACCCCGAAGACUUCUUUAUCCACUUCAACCUGCCGGCACACAAGGAGCUCGUCGUGCGUCGUGGCUCGCUGGUGGUGGACGAAGUCACAUUCCUGCUGGAGCCUUGGAGGGAGGACAUGCACGCGCUGCUCGAGACCUAGAUGAUCCAUGUGCGCAUCGUCAUUGAGAAGCUGCCCAUGAUGCUCUAGACCUUGGAGGGCACCGCGGACGCGCUGGGGGACAAGGUGAUCAUCGACCGGCUGGAUAGCCGCACGUUCGAGCGCGCCGACACAAAGACUUUCGCCAUGUGGGCAUGGGUCGCCGACCUCGCCCACAUCCCCACGCGGCGCACGCUCUGGAAGGACACCAAGGGGGUUGGCCUCGUCGAAGAGAUGUUCGGCUUCUCCCCGCCAAGCCGCGCGGUGGCGCCACCGCGCAUCUCAAGAGGUGGGACGUCCUGGUGCACCUGGACCGCAUCGAGGACUGGACGCCCCUGUCUCCGCGCUCAUCCCACUCAAGGCAAAGCGGCAUCCCCUCCUCCGAAGAGGACGAGGACGACCGCCCGUACCCGCGGAACCCACCCAUGGGCGGCUGGGUGCAUGGCAAGGAGGACGGCAAGCCAGUGCUGGGGCCUGACCGGCGCGGGGCUCCCAGGUGCGUGUGGCGUCCACGGGCUGUCGGGGCAUGCCCUCGACGAGGCCAAGGCGCGGCCAUGA